CAACUUGCUCUCCAGCUCACUUGAGUGGAGACAUUCAAGAGAACAAGAUGUUCUUUCUGUUGUUUCAUUCAUAGGUUUGAGGCACUGGGCCCAAGAAAGCCCAGAGCAAGAGACAUUAUUUUAAAUGUAGACAUCGGCUCAGCCGCUUUUCCAAAGCUUCUGGUCAUGUGGCAGGAGAGACACCAUCAGGUAACACAAGGCAGCUCUGGUCAGCACACUGGAAGGCCGACGACAACUGUGAACCCACCUCAGCAGAAUCCUCCAACAACUUCCCAUGGCCAGAGAAAAUGGUCUCCACUCCUUGGGAUGCUCAACAGCAUACAUGGUUAUGAAUGUCUUAAAAACCAUCCAGGAACUGUUUCCAGGAAAAGAAAGAUCUUUCACAAACAAUGUAAUGACUGGAGCGACUCCUCCCAGAGCCCCUGGUCACAGAAGUCAGGCUGUACCUGCUGACCUUAUUGUGUCUGAGCUUCUGCCUGCUAUGAAAACCCCUUGUGAAAUAGAAAAAAGCUGUUUUAAAGAAAAACUGUGUUUGUGUGUGAAUAAGCACUCUAGGUGAAUGGCUACA
rnacentral:lncRNA from 1 species